rnacentral:rRNA from 1 species
GACGAACGCUGGCGGCGUGCUUAACACAUGCAAGUCGAACGGAAAGGCCCUGCUUUUGUGGGGUGCUCGAGUGGCGAACGGGUGAGUAACACGUGAGUAACCUGCCCUUGACUUUGGGAUAACUUCAGGAAACUGGGGCUAAUACCGGAUAGGAGCUCCUGCUGCAUGGUGGGGGUUGGAAAGUUUCGGCGGUUGGGGAUGUACUCGCGGCUUAUGAGCUUGUUGGUGGGGUAGUGGCUUACCCAGGCUUUGACGGGUAGCCGGCCUGAGAGGGUGACCGGCGACAUUAGGCCUGAGGUAGGGACCAGACGCCAACGGGAGGCAGCGGUGGGGAGUAUUACACAAUGGGGGGGAGCCUGAGGCGGAGACGCCGGGUGCGGGAUGCCGGCCUUCGGGUGGUGAACCGCUUUCGCCUGUGACGAAGCGUGAGUGACGGUAAUGGGUAAAGAAGCACCGGCUAACUACGUG